rnacentral:rRNA from 1 species
UACGUAGGGGGCGAGCGUUAUCCGGAAUUAUUGGGCGUAAAGAGUGCGUAGGUGGUUUCUUAAGCGUGAGGUGAAAGGCAGUGGCUCAACCAUUGUAAGCCUUGCGAACUGUGAGACUUGAGUUCAGGAGAGGAAGCGGAAUUCCCGGUGUAGCGGUGAAAUGCGUAGAUAUCGGGAGGAACAUCUGUGGCGAAGGCGAUUUACUGGGCCGCAACUGACGCUGAUACACGAAAGCGUGGGUAGCAAACAGGAUUAGAUACCCGGGUAGUCCCUGA